rnacentral:rRNA from 1 species
AUUGCAGAAUCCCGUGAACCAUCGAGUUUUUGAACGCAAGUUGCGCCCGAAGCCUAGGCUUAGGGCACGUCUGCCUGGGCGUCACGCAUCUAGUCGCCACCCCUCNCGUAAUUACGGCGUGGGGUGACGGAUGUUGGCUCUCCGUGUUCUUGAGGCGCGGUUGGCCUAAAUCUGAGUCUCUGGCGCGAGACGUCACGGCAAGUGGUGGUUGAAAUCAUCAACUCGUGUGCUGUCGUGACAACGCCUGACGCGGACUCCACCGACCCUAGAGCUCUCGGCGCGAAUUUGAGCCGCGUGCCUUCGACC